UAUCUCUCCGUACGGGGAAGGAUGAGAAGCUUCGACUAAGGUUCGAUUCGAGCGCAGCGAGAAAGCGUUGCCGCAGGCAACGACCCGAAGGGUGAGGAGCGGAGCGACGAAUAAUCCCUCCCCCACCACCA
rnacentral:sRNA from 1 species